GACGAACGCUGGCGGCGUGCUUAACACAUGCAAGUCGAGCGAGGCCCCUCCUUCGGGAGGGUGUCCUAGCGGCGAACGGGUGAGUAACACGUGGGCAACCUGCCCUCAGCUCUGGGAUAACUCCGGGAAACCGGGGCUAAUACCGGAUACGACCUCCACGGGCAUCUGCGGAGGUGGAAAGUUUUUCGGCUGAGGAUGGGCCCGCGGCCUAUCAGCUAGUUGGUGGGGUAGUGGCCCACCAAGGCGACGACGGGUAGCCGGCCUGAGAGGGCGACCGGCCACACUGGGACUGAGACACGGCCCAGACUCCUACGGGAGGCAGCAGUAGGGAAUAUUGCGCAAUGGGCGAAAGCCUGACGCAGCGACGCCGCGUGAGGGACGAAGGCCUUCGGGUUGUAAACCUCUUUCAGCAGGGACGAAGCGAAAGUGACGGUACCUGCAGAAGAAGCACCGGCCAACUACGUG
rnacentral:rRNA from 1 species